AACGAACGUUGGCGGCGUGGAUUAGGCAUGCAAGUCGAACGAAUCCCGUGGGGGCAACCCUGCGGGGGAAGUGGCGAAAGGGGCAGUAAGGCGUGGGUAACCUGCCUCGGAGUCUGGGAUAGCCCUCCUAACGGAGGGGUAAAACCGGAUGCCGUGGCGAGGGGGCAUCCCCUUGCUACGAAAGGUUACGCUCCGAGAGGGGCCCACGUAGUAUUAGCUAGUUGGUGCGGUAACGGCGCACCAAGGCCAAGAUGCUUAGCAGGUGUGAGAGCACGACCUGCGCCACUGGCACUGGGACACUGGCCAGACUCCUACGGGAGGCUGCAGUCGAGGAUCUUCGGCAAUGGGCUAACGCCUGACCGAGCGACGCCGCGUGUGCGAUGAAGGCCUUCGGGUUGUAAAGCACUGUCGUGGGGGAGAAAAGGGGUAACACCCUUGAUCGACCCCAGGAGGAAGCACGGGCUAAGUUCGUGCCAGCAGCCGCGGUAACAC
rnacentral:rRNA from 1 species